GGGGCCGAGGGGGCGCGAGGUGGCGGCGCGGGGACUCCGGGCCCCGGCGGCGGCCCAUGGGGCGGGAGGCGUGAGGCCGCAGCCUGCCCGGGGCUCGGGGGGUGGGGGGAGCGGGGCGGGGAGAUGGAUAAGCUGACCAUCAUCUCAGGAUGUCUCUUUCUGGCCGCCGAUAUCUUCGCCAUCGCCAGCAUCGCCAACCCGGACUGGAUCAACACCGGGGAGUCCGCGGGAGCACUCACCGUGGGCCUUGUGCGACAGUGUCAAACAAUCCAUGGACGAGACCGAACCUGCAUCCCUCCCCGGCUUCCCCCCGAGUGGGUCACCACACUGUUUUUUAUCAUCAUGGGAAUCAUUUCAUUGACUGUCACAUGUGGUUUGCUAGUGGCUUCCCACUGGCGAAGAGAAGCUACAAAAUAUGCUCGUUGGAUAGCAUUCACUGGAACAUGAAGAGAAACACUAACAGACAUCAGAAACAAUUGAGCCAGAAGGACAUGAAUGGACUUGACCAAAAUCCAGAUGAUGGAUUACCGGUUACACAGCUUAACCAGACACAGGACUUACUGAGGCUGCAGGGAAAUGAGAUUCAGUCAGUUUUGGAAGACCCCGAAGAUUGGCUUUCAACUCACAGCUUAAAGUUUGAGAAACUCACUUUGGCUGACCUGAUAAGUCAGGGUACAGCUGUGCUGGAGGAGAACAGCAGUGUCAUGCAGGAAAUACACUUCUCCACUCAGACUAUUUGCCAUUUCGAAUCAAAGCUUUCUGAAAUUAUCGAACUCUAUCAACAGAGAAUUCAGUGGCUUACAGAAAACAGCAAGAAGGCAUUUGGCCUCAUCAGGGGGACCAGAGUGGCCAUCCUCAUUGAUGCAUCUGUGGCCAGCCGUGGCCCUAGAACAGAAGAGUUCCAAAAUGACUUUAUGAGCCUUGUUGAUGAGCAGCUGAGCCUCAAGGAGAAGCUCUAUGUCCUGUCCUUCGGCACCACUGCCCGGCCUCUCUGGCCAGACCCCACGGAAGUCUGCACCUCCAACCUCCAGGAACUCAAACUCUGGGUAAAGAAACUGCAGCCUGAAGGAGGCAGCAAUUUACUACAAGCGCUGAAGAAAACUUUCCCUCUCCAGGGGCUGAAUUCCUUGAUGAUCAUAAUGAGAAGCUGCCCAGAUCAGCCUUUGGAAAUUCUGUCUGACUACAUUCAGCAGUCCACCGUGGGAAGCGGCCUCAUCAUCCACUUCAUCACCUACAAAUGUGAUGAUCAGGUGCCCUCUGCUGUCCUAAAGAACCUUGCAGAAGCACUUGGAGGCUGCUACCACUGCUACAGCCCAGAGACAGAGCUCUAUACCAGUCGGGAUGUGGAUGAGCUGCUGGCAGAGAUCCAGAAGGCCCAGGGCCUCCUCAACCACAUACAAGCCUUGCGCCAGAGCAGCCCCUGUGAGGAACUGGCCCGCAUGAUGAAGGAAAUUGCCACAGAGUAUACAAGAGAGUCACUCACGGAUCUUUUGCCUAAACCCCCAAAGCAUGAUGCUCCUCUCACUAUUGUGUUCCCAAACCUGGAAAAGACUUCUGCAGAAUGGCUAAAGAUCAAUGGUCUAAAAGCCAAGAAAUUAAGCCUUUAUCAGAUUCUGGCACCCAAUGCAUUCUCUCUUGUGGAAGAAUUUGUACCUAUUCUCCAGAAGACAGUAUCAUCAACUAUCCAUGAGAAGACAAUGGUACAAUUUGAAUGGCAUGAUGGGACAGUGAAGAAUAUCCACGUGGAUCCACCCUUCCUCUAUGAAUACCAGAAACAGCUCAGCAGAGCCAUGCGAGGGUAUGAGAGGCGGGUCGAGUGGCUCUCACUGGCCAGCAGAAGAAUCUGGGGCACCAUCUGUGAAAAGAGGGUGGUUAUACUGCUCGAUAUCUCUGUGACCAAUUCCAUGUACAUUAUUCAUAUCCAGCACUCCCUGAGGCUGCUGCUGGAGGAGCAGCUGUCCAACAAGGACUGCUUCAACCUCAUCGCGUUUGGAAGCACAGUCGAGAGCUGGAGGCCUGAGAUGGUUCCUGUGAGCCAUGACAAUCUCCAGAGGGCCUGGAGGUGGGCCCUGAGCCUGCAGUGUGGAGGCAGCAGGAACGUGCUCGGUGCCCUGCGGAAAGCUGUGGAAGUGGACUUCAGGGACAAAGAUAAACACCAGUCACAGGGCAUCUACCUCCUCACGGGGGGCAUCCCUGACCAGGAUGUGCCCACACUCAGCGCCUACAUGGCUGAAAGCUGCGGCGGCUGCGACCUCCAGCUGAACGUGAGUCUCUUCUCCGUGGGUGAGCCACAGAUGGACAGCACCCCUCCUGCCUGCUACGCCAGCCGCUCGGACACAGCCAGUGCCUACAGGGCCAUCGCCUGGGCUACUGGUGGCCGCUUCCACUGGUUUGGAGACACAGGCAUUUAUGAGAGUGAUGACAUCAAUGCCAUCAAAUCUGAGAUGGAAAAGGCCCUCAACUAUUCCCAAAAGUGUGCCUUACUAGUGGCCUCCCUGAAGAACCAUUUGAGAAAAGAACUGGAAAAUGUAGCUGUUUCUAAAGAAAAACCAAAGAUGCUCAAGCAAAGAAGCCAGCCCAAGGAAUCCUCUUUACCCAAGCCUACAGCCCCCUCCAUGGCCAGAAUGAACAUUAAAGAUGACUUGGAAAGAGAGAGGAGCCCUCCAUCAAAAUCUCUGAAAUGUCGUCAACUCAGUGGCAAAGUGCGCAUCUCCCCAGCCCAACUCAUGGAAGAAGGGACAGUAGAGUGGAAGAGAAAGAUCAAAUCACGAGCAGCACAGACAGCUCUCUCCCUGUUCUAUACAGAGACUGGGAAUACCGUAGGUUCAAUAUAUAAGAAGUACCCUCAGAGAAUAAGGAUACGAAGGACCAUAUCUUCUGUUAACUUGCCCAGGAAGGACACAGUUUGCUCAAGCCAAGAGUGGCUAGCAAAUUACGGGUUGAAGAAACUGAAGAUGGAGAUAUCCAGAUGCCUGGGUCCCAGCUGCAGCCAUCAGAAGUCCACACAGAGCUCAGCCAAACACUGCGAUGUCAUCCCCAGCAUAGAGAUCAAUGGAGUGGUGAGACACAUUCAGUGGACACUCAGGGAAAUGGAUGUGUACAUUGCAUGCCUGGAGAAGGUGAUGAGAUGCUACAUCCAGCGGCUUCGGUGGCUGCUGUCUGGGAGUCGCCGACUCUUUGGUGCCAUCCUGGAGAGCAAAGUGUGCAUCCUGCUGGACACUUCCGGGUCCACAGGUCCCUAUUUGCAGGGGGUGAAGUCGGAGAUGGUUCUGCUGAUCUGGGAGCAGCUGCGGAAGCACUGUGACAGUUUUAACCUGCUCAGCUUUUCAGACAGCCUCCAGCCGUGGCAAGACACUCUGGUGGAGACCACAGAUGCAGCAUGUCGCGAAGCUAUACAGUGGCUGACCCACCUGCAAGCUCAGGGGAGUACCUCAAUCUUGCAAGCAUUAUCGGCAACUUUCAGUUUUCACGAUGUGCAAGGACUAUACCUGCUGACUGAUGGGAAGCCGGAUACGAGCUGCAGCCUUGUUCUUGAUGCUGUCCACAGACUCCAGGAGGAAAGGGAUGUGAAGGUGCACACUGUCUCCCUGAGCUGCACAGACAGAGCCGCAGUUGAGUUCCUGAAGAAGCUGGCUUCCCUCACCGGUGGCCGUUACCACUGCCCAGUCAGUGGGGACACACUCUGCAGGAUGCACAGCCUGCUCACCAGGGGCUGCAUCGAUGAAAGGGAGAAAUCAAGGGCUAAAACAUUUUUACUGACGGAAUAGCAGUAAGAUAAAGAGUCUAUGCCAUUUCUGUUGGCCUGGAAAGGGAGCAGCUUCACUGAAGUUCAGAGACCAACUUGGUUUGCCCCUGCCCACUUCUCACAUUGACUGCCGGGUAUCGUAUUGCAAAGUGUGCUGUAUGCAAAGUGACUGCCUAGACUGAUGAUCUCAUCUGGUCAUGUAACAGAUUGAACUUCACACUCAUUUACCCUUUCCAAGGAUCCCCCACUGCCACUGUUUGAAGGCGAUGACUUGAGGAGACUAGCCCAGGAGAUCACCAAAACCCGGAGAUUCCUUGCACAAGCCCAGGUAUUCAGAUCCCAGCUCCAGAAGAAAAGUAAUGACGCACCGCAAGUUACUCUUUGUUAGAGUAGUAUUCUCAGGAGGACACAGAAAGAUAUAACUUACAGAUUAUCCACAGGAGAGACCAGUCCAGACACCAGGGCAUGCUGAAAGUCUGGAAAGAAAGAGUCUGUUCUGUGAGUACAGAGCCAUCUGUGGGUCUUUGAGCCACCCUUCCUGUCCUUCUCUGUUCUCCAACAUUCCAGUAAUAAGAUUGAUGUUCACUGGAAUGUUCUUGUCACCUUCUGCCUGGGGACUCUCAGCUCAAUGACAUCAGCUCCACUGUGAAGAUGCUCCUGGGACAGAGCUAAGAUCUCCAGGCAGAGUUGAAAGCUUCCAGCCUUCCUCUUGUAGCAGCCUGACUAAUACUUUUUGUUGUACUUGGCACUUGCUUGACUAUCUAACUCUCCUCCUUCAGUGGCUCCCCCAGAACGAGGCCACAGUCCUAACCAUCUGGAGAUUUCCAGCACCUGCCAUAUGGCAGACAUGUGAUAAGCUGAACAUCCUGCAGAAUGUGGGAGUUCCACUAAGGAAACCAAUCAGCUGAGGCUGUUUUUCCUUGGGGCCUCCCUAUUUUCCUUACCAUCUAUGGGCCAAUCCAGAUUCCCCAAGUCUGCCUGACUUGAGCAAAAAAGCUAGCGAUGUCCACCACCCCACCCACUCCUGCUCCACCAAACUGAAUUGAAGGCUGCUUCACAACCCAGUCCAAAGUGAACAUUCUGCUCAACUCUGAAAAUCAGGCUGGAUCUGGCUCCACUGUGGACACAUGAAAUGAAUGUGGUUAUGCUAUAUCAUCUGUGGUCAUUUUCUAACAUGAAAUGGACGUGGUGCAUGUUAUAUCAUAUGUGAUCAUUUUCUAAAAUUGGAAAAGUGCUUUUAUUUCCAUGAUUAAAGUCAAAGUUACUUGGUUGCCUUA